ensembl:miRNA microRNA 331
GAGUUUGGUUCUGUUUGGGUUUGUUCUAGGUAUGGUCCCAGGGAUCCCAGAUCCAACCAGGCCCCUGGGCCUAUCCUAGAACCAACCUAAGCCCGU